rnacentral:rRNA from 1 species
UACAGAGGGGGCGAGCGUUGUUCGGAAUUACUGGGCGUAAAGGGCGCGUAGGCGGCCUUCUAAGUCGAACGUGAAAUCCCCGGGCUCAACCCGGGAACUGCGUCCGAUACUGGGAGGCUUGAAUCCGGGAGAGGGAUGUGGAAUUCCAGGUGUAGCGGUGAAAUGCGUAGAUAUCUGGAGGAACACCGGUGGCGAAGGCGGGUCUCUGGACAGUUCCUGACGCUGAGGCACGAAGGUCAGGGGAGCAAACGGG